GACGAACGCUGGCGGCGUGCUUAACACAUGCAAGUCGAACGGAAAGGCCCCCUUGUGGGGUGCUCGAGUGGCGAACGGGGGAGUAACACGCGAGUAACCUACCCUUGACUUUGGGAUAACUUCAGGAAACUGGGGCUAAUACCGGAUAGGAGCUCCUGCUGCAUGGUGGGGGUUGGAAAGUUUCGGCGGUUGGGGAUGGACUCGCGGCUUAUCAGCUUGUUGGUGGGGUAGUGGCUAACCAAGGCUUUGACGGGUAGCCGGCCUGAGAGGGUGGCCGGCCACAUUGGGACUGCGAUACGGCCCAGACUCCUACGGGAGGCAGCAGUGGGGAAUAUUGCACAAUGGGCGGAAGCCUGAUGCAGCAACGCCGCGUGCGGGAUGACGGCCUUCGGGUUGUAAACCGCUUUCGCCUGUGACGAAGCGUGAGUGACGGUAAUGGGUAAAGAAGCACCGGCUAACUACGUG
rnacentral:rRNA from 1 species